CCUACGGGGGGCUGCAGUGGGGAAUAUUGCACAAUGGGCGCAAGCCUGAUGCAGCCAUGCCGCGUGUGUGAAGAAGGCCUUCGGGUUGUAAAGCACUUUCAGCGGGGAGGAAGGCGGUGAGGUUAAUAACCUCAUCGAUUGACGUUACCCGCAGAAGAAGCACCGGCUAACUCCGUGCCAGCAGCCGCGGUAAUACGGAGGGUGCAAGCGUUAAUCGGAAUUACUGGGCGUAAAGCGCACGCAGGCGGUCUGUCAAGUCGGAUGUGAAAUCCCCGGGCUCAACCUGGGAACUGCAUUCGAAACUGGCAGGCUAGAGUCUUGUAGAGGGGGGUAGAAUUCCAGGUGUAGCGGUGAAAUGCGUAGAGAUCUCGAGGAAUACCGGUGGCGAAGGCGGCCCCCUGGACAAAGACUGACGCUCAGGUGCGAAAGCGUGGGGAGCAAACAGGAUUAGAUACCCCUGUAGUC
rnacentral:rRNA from 1 species